rnacentral:rRNA from 1 species
GUGCCAGCCGCCGCGGUAAUACGUAGGGGGCAAGCGUUGUCCGGAUUUAUUGGGCGUAAAGAGCGUGUAGGCGGCCAGAUAGGUCGGUUGUGAAAACUGGAGGCUUAACCUUCAGACGUCGACCGAAACCAUCUGGCUAGAGUCCGGAAGAGGAGAAUGGAAUUCCUGGUGUAGCGGUGAAAUGCGCAGAUAUCAGGAAGAACACCCGUGGCUAAGGCGGUUCUCUAGUACGGUACUGACGCUGAGACGCGAAAGCGUGGGGAGCGAACAGGAUUAGAAACCCUCGUAGUCC